ACCCUUCGGUAGUUCAUGAGUGUGAUGACUGGGUGUUUACGCUCUCGUGUGACGUGUGCCUCCCACAGACUCUUCCCGGCAUCGGCACCUGACCCAUCUGACA